GGCUCGGUAGCUUAGUUGGUAGAGCGCUCGUCUAGCAUACAAGAGUCCUGGGUUCAAAUCCCAGCCGAGCCC
rnacentral:tRNA from 1 species